ACCGGAAUAGUGUACCUA
rnacentral:snRNA from 1 species